rnacentral:lncRNA from 1 species
GCCGAGGACCAGGGCAGGAGAAGGGGAGAGGAGAGACAGACAGACAGACAGACACUAACUCGAGCUCCUUCUCCUGGAAGAGAACUGGUCACCCCCAGCCCCUGCACGUAUUACCUGGGGCUGGACCAGAUCAGGCUGCAAAGAUGCAAAGAGCUGCCCACGGGCUUUGCCUCCCCUCUCAAGAUGUCUUUUGAAAAACAAAAUUGAACAAAUUGGCAAUGUUUAAAAAUUGGGAUUUUACACCUAAAAAAUCUGUUUGUUUGUUUGUUUUCCUCUUGAAAAACUGGAGUUCUGGUCCUGACCGGGAGCUGGGGCUGGGCAGUUUCUGCUCCCACGGGAAGGUCUUGAGGUUUCUGCGUGGACAUGGCCCUCCCCCAUCUGAUCUCCCUCGUCUCUGAGCACAGCCUCUAGUCGGCUUUUAUGAGCCCUCUCUGUCACCUCCAGGUGACCCCCGGGCCCCAGGAGGAUUGGGGUGGAGACCCUGGACUGAAGGGUGUUCAACCUUUAUAUUCUGGGACCGUCUCAGUUCAAAUGCCACCUACUCAGGGGGCCUUCCCUGACCACCUGAGACAAAAUAGCCCCCUCCCCUCCCUCUUCAUACCUUUGCUCACCAGGAAGCAGCAGCAAAGAGGCUGGGCUGGGGUCCCCUUAACGUUUGGGGAAACUGACAUUCAGAGCAGUAAAGCAACCAGCUCAAGGGCACACAGCCUGUGGGUGACUGAGCCAGGGCUGUUUCACUUGAGCCCUGUUGGCCUCACGCUGCUGGGCACAGCUUUACCAAUGUCCUCAUGACAGAGCAGGCAGGGAGGGACUCUGGAGCCACCAAGCAGAGGGGACUUCCAUUAGGCUUGUCCCCAGGGGUUCUGCCUGGCACAUGGUAGGCACUCAGCCAUAUUCAUGGGGAAAAGAAAUGACUGGAUUUGAGAUGCGUACAUAUCUGUUAUAUAAAAACCUAUAUGUGUGCGUGUGUGUGUGUGUGUAGGUAAGUAAAAUAUCUAGCACGAACUAUUUUCGGGGAUGGGAUUAGAGGGAAUUUCAUUUUUGUUUUUGGCAAUUUUAAAUGUACUUUCAAAAGAAAAAAAAAGAGAAAAGAGAAAAUCCCAGCGCUCUCUUCUAUAUAACGCUCCCGUCCUCUGGUUCCAAGGAAUUUAUUGAAAAUAAAGAUUCAACCAUGUCUCUGCUUAAAACCCCAAAUCCUGCAUGUGGCCUCUGGGCCCUCCCUGCCUCCCUCUCCUGAGGCUGGAGUGAGGCAGCAGGAGGCUGGUUGGGAAGGGGACCUCCCGGGUCCUGACCCUGCCACCUCCUCUCUGAAGCCUUCCUGAGUCUCUCUGGGGACCUUCAUGAGGUCGCUUGUCCCUUGCAUCUUGUCCAUCUCAUGUUAAUUGGCGAUUCCUAGUUUACAUUAAGACUCCCUCCCCACCCACGAGGCCGGCUCUUCUCAGGGUGGGGUCCUGCCUGAUCAUUCCUGGGUGCCCAGUCUCUGAUGAUGGCCUGGCCCAUGUUUCCCCUUCUGUGGGCUGGGUGGGCCUCGAGGGCCAACCUCCAAGUCCCCCGCGUUCUAGGACGGAUUCUGCAGAGCCUCAGUUUCUCCUCUGUCACAUGAGGUGGCCGCCACCCCUGCCUCUCCUGGUGCCUUGAGGACACUGCCCGGGGUGUGUACUGAGCGUGGGCAGCACUGCUCUCAGGUGGGGCGUCUGUCCAAAGCCACUGGUCUCUCUCCACACCCCAACCCUGUGGCAUCUGCCGCCACUUCUGGAAGCUGCUCUAGCUGUGCUGGUCUAAGCUGCUCAGCAGAAAUUUUCCCUUUUGAUCUGACAACCCACAGAGGGGCUGAGAUGAAGGCCCAGUGUCCCUUUGAAAUGCAAAACCCUCCUGUCCCCCAGCUGUUCCCAGGGCCACCGUGGCUCCCAGCGCUGCUGAGGCAAAGCCCUAGCCUAAGCACACUCUCAGGGACUGUGGGGCCUGGUCUGUCCCCCCCACUCCCAUUCCAUUGUGGAGGCUGAGGCCAGGAGAGUCCCCAAGGCCACUCCUGCAGUGGGCAGAGCCAGGUUCCUAGCCAGGCCUGUUGGGGAUCUGUCCCCUGGGCGUGGCCAGCCUGCAGGUCGUCUCAGGAGCCAUCCAGGGGAGCGUCUAAGAGCUACAAGGACGCGUCUCUGCUGACCUUGCUGUGUCUGUGCUAGAUGGUCACCUGCUGCUCACUGCAGGUGGGAUACUGCUGACCCUCAUGUCACAGAGACCUCCUGUGGGACACUGGGGCUCCCAGACGGCUCUGGACCAAGGU